rnacentral:rRNA from 1 species
CCUACGGGAGGCAGCAGUAGGGAAUUUUGCGCAAUGGGCGAAAGCCUGACGCAGCAACGCCGCGUGAUUGAUUAAGCCCUUCGGGGUGUAAAGAUCUGUCAGUGGGGACGAAGCUUUACGGUACCCACAAAGGAAGCACCGGCUAACUCCGCGCCAGCAGCCGCGGGAAUACGGAGGGUGCAAGCGUUGUCCGGAAUCAUUGGGCGUAAAGAGUUCGUAGGUGGUAUAUUAAGUCUGGUGUGAAAUGCAGAGGCUCAACUUCUGUUCGGCACUGGAUACUGGUAGGCUUGAAUGCUGUAGAGGUAAAGAGAAUUCCUGGUGUAGCGGUGAAAUGCGUAGAGAUCAGGAGGAACAUCGGUGGCGUAAGCGCUUUCCUGGGCCGUGAUUGACACUGAGGAACGAAAGCCGGGGUAGCAAAUGGGAUUAGAUACCCGGGUAGUC